rnacentral:rRNA from 1 species
GGAUCAUCGGGUUAGCAAUAAUUCGGUGGUCCUAGUGGCGUACGGGUGAGUAACACGUGGGUAACCUGCCCUCGAGUCCGGGAUACCCUCUCGAAAGGGAGGCUAAUACUGGAUACGUUCCCUGGGGCGCAAGACCUGGGGAGGAAAGGUAGCGAAAGCUGCCGCUCUUGGAGGGGCUCGCGGCCUAUCAGCUAGUUGGUGAGGUAACGGCUCACCAAGGCUAUGACGGGUAGCUGGUCUGAGAGGACGACCAGCCACACGGGAACUGAGACACGGUCCCGACUCCUACGGGAGGCAGCAGUGGGGAAUUUUCCGCAAUGGGCGAAAGCCUGACGGGGUGACGCCGCGUGGGGGACGAAGGCCUUCGGGUCGUAAACCCCUGUCAGAGGGAAAGAAGGGUGCUGGCGUGAAUAGCGCCGGCAUCUGACGGUACCUUCAGAGGAAGCCCCGGCCAACUCUGUGCCAGCAGCCGCGGUAAGACAGAGGGGGCAAGCGUUGCUCGGAAUCACUGGGCGUAAAGGGCGCGUAGGCGGGAUGGCAAGUCGGUCGUGAAAUCCUUCGGCUCAACCGAAGAACGUCGGCCGAUACUGCCGUUCUUGAGGGAUGCAGAGGAGAUUGGAAUUCCCGGUGUAGCGGUGAAAUGUGUAGAGAUCGGGAGGAACACCGGUGGCGAAGGCGGGUCUCUGGGCAUCUCCUGACGCUGAGGCGCGAAAGCGUGGGGAGCAAACGGGAUUAGAUACCCCGGUAGUCCACGCUGUAAACGAUGACGACUAGUG